UGUGCAAAGGUAGCAUAAUCAGUUGGCUUAUAAUUGAAGUCUAGUAUGAAUGGGAACACGGGAAUAUUCUGUCUUUAAUAUAUAAAAGAAAUUACUAAUUAAGUGAAAAUUCUUAAAAGUAAGAAAAUAGACGAGAAGACCCUAGAAAUUUUUUUAAAAUUGAUUUUGUUGGGGCGACAGGGUAACAAAAAACUUACCUAGAGUAAUAGGAAAUUUUUUAGUGGUGUAAUUAAAUUACUCUAGGGAUAACAGCAUAAUAUUUUAAAGGUUGUGACCUCGAUGUUGGACUAGGAAAAACACUACUUAAAAGGUAGUGUUUAUGGUUCUGUUCGAACUUUUACUCCUACAUGAUCUGAGUUCAAAUCGA
rnacentral:rRNA from 1 species